ensembl:lncRNA
GCGCGUGCGUGCGUGCGUGUGUGUGUGUGAAUCGAUGAGAUACGUGCUUGAUUGGGUCUCCCUUGUUGUAAUAAUGUACAUCAGAAGGAGGGGACGGGCUCAGCUGCUCCCAUGCAGGCUGUGCAGCGCAGGGAUCUGGCGAGCUAUUUGCCAAGCACUUUCUUGGCUGCUCAUAGUACUUUUCCCCCUUUUUCUCUUUGUGGGGCUUGAUAGGGGGCUAUUUAAAAACAGCGACAGCAAAUCAGAUGCGGCCAAGCAAAAGGCGUUUACUUCGCCUCCAGUGGCUCGAGGUGCAAAAAUCCUCCACAAGCACUGUUUUCCUUUUAAACUAACACCGCGUGGAAUAAAGUGUAGUUUUCUUGGGUGAACCUCGGGAACAUUUGCGGUGGUGGAAACAGGGGAUGAUUCGAGGAAGGUGGAAAUGCAGAUCAAUUGGGAAAUAGCGGUUAACAAUGGACGCUAUUCCGACCCUGAUCUCCCCAGAGGAUCAGGCCAAGAGACGCAUGCGGCAACACAAGAAUCAACGGGGGCAGGUCGGGUUGGCCUGAGGUCAAAAACCGGCGCAGUGGUGAAUCGUCGCUCCAUGCGUUACCGCACAACGAGUUUCCGUAUAUUUUCUUUCUACAAAUAUGAUACGCACCCUUGAAAUAAAGGGUUAAACAAGUUAAAACGUAUAUGUUUGUAUUUCUUUGUUAGAUAGAAAAACACAAAUAAUAGAGGAUACACUAAUCUCCGUGCUCCAAGCCAAACCUCCGGUGAAGCGUUCGCCGUGGCGCAGAAGGAGUCAUGCGCCACUUGCUCCGUCGCGCACCGGUGCUUAGUGGAGUGGAUAAAGAGUAAGUG